AAGUUACUCCCUCCGUCCCAAAAUAAGUGUCUCCACUUUGUACUAACUCUAGUACAAAGUUGUACUAAGGUUGAGACACUUAUUUUGGGACGGAGGGAGUAUUUC
rfam:Triticum aestivum genome assembly, contig: Triticum_aestivum_CS42_TGACv1_scaffold_645365_T_1DL-0.233665_5BL-0.165340